GGAUGUGAGGGCAAUGUGGCUGCCUCUGUCACCUCACUGAUCGCCAGGGUGGAUUCGGCUGUCCUGGCUAGGCGGGUGUCCCCUGCUUCCCUCACCACUCCAUGGAGUUCCUUCUGAAGCUGUGCGCUUGGUGGAAGAGGACUGCCUUCUCUGUAUAGAGACUGACUGGUGGAAGGUAUACAAGUAGCCAUGCUCCCCUGCUAGAACCUCCAAACAAGCUCUCAAACUCAGUUUGACUCCAGAGAGAGUGGUCCCAUGCUUUUAAGCUGUGCUUUGAAUCCUCUAGUUAGUUGCUAUUUUGAUGUGGGAUAGAGGAAUUAAGA
ensembl:misc_RNA 7SK 7SK RNA